rnacentral:rRNA from 1 species
AACGGAGGGGGCGAGUGUUAUUCGUGAUGACUGGGCGUAAAGGGUACGUAGGUGGUGACAUUCUAAACUAGGUAGAAAAACUGGGGUUUUACCCCUUUAAGCUUAAUUAUAUUGUCACUUGAGUAUUAUUGGCGAGAAUUGUAUUCUUUCUGGAGGAGUGAAAUAUUUAGAUAGAAAGAAGACGGACGAAGGCGGAGGCAAUUCUCGAGAUACAUUCUGACGCUGAGGUACGAAGGCAUGGGUAGCAAAAGGG